rnacentral:rRNA from 1 species
UACGUAGGGCGCAAGCGUUGUCCGGAAUUAUUGGGCGUAAAGAGCUCGUAGGCGGCUUGUCGCGUCGUUCGUGAAAACCCGGGGCUCAACUCCGGGCUUGCGGGCGAUACGGGCAGGCUAGAGUGCGGUAGGGGAGACUGGAAUUCCUGGUGUAGCGGUGAAAUGCGCAGAUAUCAGGAGGAACACCGGUGGCGAAGGCGGGUCUCUGGGCCGUAACUGACGCUGAGGAGCGAAAGCGUGGGGAGCGAACAGG